UAGCGGCGGACGGGUGAGUAACACGUGGGUAACCUGCCCAUAAGACUGGGAUAACUCCGGGAAACCGGGGCUAAUACCGGAUAACAUUUUGAACCGCAUGGUUCGAAAUUGAAAGGCGGCUUCGGCUGUCACUUAUGGAUGGACCCGCGUCGCAUUAGCUAGUUGGUGAGGUAACGGCUCACCAAGGCAACGAUGCGUAGCCGACCUGAGAGGGUGAUCGGCCACACUGGGACUGAGACACGGCCCAGACUCCUACGGGAGGCAGCAGUAGGGAAUCUUCCGCAAUGGACGAAAGUCUGACGGAGCAACGCCGCGUGAGUGAUGAAGGCUUUCGGGUCGUAAAACUCUGUUGUUAGGGAAGAACAAGUGCUAGUUGAAUAAGCUGGCACCUUGACGGUACCUAACCAGAAAGCCACGGCUAACUACGUGCCAGCAGCCGCGGUAAUACGUAGGUGGCAAGCGUUAUCCGGAAUUAUUGGGCGUAAAGCGCGCGCAGGUGG
rnacentral:rRNA from 1 species